AUGACCUUAUUAGACUGUGUUUAGAGACUUCGAUUUGGACAAGUCUGGCACCAUGAGCUCCUAUGAAAUGCGUCUGGCACUAGAAUCUGCAGGCUUCAAGCUGACCAAUCACCUGUUUCAGUUAAUAAUCCUGCGUUAUUCUAAGCCAGACAUGAAUGUGGACUUUGACAGCUUUGUAACCUACCUGAUUCGUCUAGAGAGCAUGUUCAAGACGUUCAAGACUUUGGACACAGAUUCAGAUGGAGUGGUGUCUCUAAGUUUUCCUCAG